AGAGGCUUAGGAUAACAUAGACCAAGGGCCUUCAAAGCCCUAAGUAGGAGUUAAAAUCUCCUAGCCCCUG
rnacentral:tRNA from 1 species